GAAGGUGGGGAUGACGUCAAAUCAUCAUGCCCCUUAUGACUUGGGCUACACACGUGCUACAAUGGCGUAAACAAAGGGAAGCGAGACCGUGAGGUGGAGCAAAUCCCAAAAAUAACGUCUCAGUUCGGACUGUAGUCUGCAACCCGACUACACGAAGCUGGAAUCGCUAGUAAUCGCAGAUCAGAAUGCUGCGGUGAAUACGUUCCCGGGUCUUGUACACACCGCCCGUCACACCAUGGGAGUUGGAAAUGCCCGAAGUCAGUGACCCAACCGCAAGGAGGGAGCUGCCGAAGGCAGGUUCGAUAACUGGGGUGAAGUCGUAAC
rnacentral:rRNA from 1 species